rnacentral:lncRNA from 1 species
UUUUUUUUGUUUUUUUUUUUGUUUUGUUUUGUUUGUUUGUUUGUUUUUACGGAGGAAGGAGGCUCUGAAGGCAGAAGUGUCCAGGGCCUCGUGAGCAUAGCGAGGGAGAGGGAGCUGGCCAGCGGCCCCCUGCAGCCUCCCCCGAGCCCAGAGCCUUGGAAAGCAUUGCACCUGACCCCAUAGGGGCUCAGCUCCACCACCACCCAGAGUGCAAAGACUGGACCAUAUUCUGGUCGCCCAGGAUGACAAGGUGGCCAGGGCUGGGGAGGGAGGCAAAGCAGCUGAAAUCUCAAGAUUUCCCUUUAGAAAUUCAUGAGUCCAACAGAGGCCUGCCCCAGAUUAUUAUUUUCCCCUGAGAAGCAGGUAGAGAAAAUAUUAAAAUAAUAUGACAAGAACAUUAAAACCAUUCCGCAUCUGCCAAGGCGUCAGAUGCACUGGGACGCGGCCCACGGCCACGCCUUGCGGGGUCCAGCGGACCUGGACUGGUGUUUUCCUGCUUUGGGGCUGACACCCUGGAGCAGGAUUCCCCAGGGACCGUGCUGCCGGCCAGCGGGAAGGUGGGGACCCCAGAAAGAGAAGUCUCCCUCCUGCCACACCCUCCCCUCCAUCGGCACCUCCCUCUCCAGGCUGCGUGCUUGUGCUAAUACAGCUUUUCCACAAUUACCCCCAAGUUCCUCUGAGCCUAAUAGAUAACAUUUGCUAAUUAGAAUGUAUUCAUUCUUGCUGGAGGUAACCCUGUGUAGGAGGAGGAGGCUGGACCUUCUCCCACAGCAGCUCCCCGUGGACGGGGAGAGCCCUGUCACCCUGCCACCCUCCAGGGCCCCACCCUCUGCUCCCUGCCCACCUUGGCUCAAGGGCCUGCCUCAGUGCUGCAGACCUGGCCAUCCUCUGGACCAUCGUCUCCGGGGAUGUGGGGAGCAUCCGGUGGGUACCCCACACCCUCCCUUCUUGCCACUGCCAACCAGCAUCCCCACAAACCACCCCCCACGGCAAGCUUCCUGGGGUCUGGAAUGCCUAUUCGUGGAACAGGUCUGUGGCCUGAGGUUCAGGUGGGUGAGGACCGUCCUUUUGUUCAGUGAUCUACCCACCAGGCUGACCUGCAACAAGCUGCACUUCCCAGAGCUGACAAGACUCCACGAGGCACAGACACGUCAGGAGAGCCAGCGUUCUAAUUCUGUCUUUUGUGUUUAUUUUGUCUUAAAACCCUCACCACUCACCUCAGGGGGCUUCACGCUUCCCCACCUUUAAGCUUUCAAUUUUCCAGAUUUUCUGCAAGGAGCGUGGGUGACUUUUUCAAGGAGACAGACAUCACCGUCAUUGUAAUUGGGGAGAAUAACCCCCCCCCUUGGAUGAAUGAACAUGUGGGCAUGUAGGGGGUGGUGAGGGACCCUGGCCGGGGUGGGCUUGGGGGCUGGGGCCGCUCAGCUCGGCCCCCUCGAGUCCCAGAUGGACCUGUUUGCUGCCCCUGGAGAUAGAAUUCCAGAUCUGGGUGCAGCUCCCGGACAUUUCCUGGUUUCCAGCUGCCCAGGAGCCACCCUGGCUCCUGCAUGUGCCCAAACCCCCUUACUCACCCACCUCAGAAUUGGCCGAGUAGUGAUUUCGGCAAACACGGGGUCUGUGCAACAUCCAGGAGCUGCCUUUCGAGGGCCACUCCAUCUGUGCUCCUGGCAAAGCCCCUCCCCGUGCCCCAUUGGCCCCCGGCCCCCAGCACCCCUCCCUCUCUUCUGCACAAUCAGUCGCCACCACACUGUCUCUGCCCCAGACCCUCGGCGGCGGCGGCGCUCCACCCCCCCCCCAGCCGCCAGGCCCAUCUCCAGCACCCGGGCCGAUCUUACAGCAGAAGGAUUUAAUUGCAUGUCAAAAUUAAAUCUCUUUUGAUGAAGAACAAUUCAACUACGGCUCUGUCUAAUCAAAUUAACAAAGUCUUUUUUGAUUUUCAAUUAUCUUCUUCACGGGCACACUUUAUCCAAGGCUCCCGCGAUGGUGCUGACAAGCCACGCAUUCACAAUGAGGGCCCUCACCUGGACUGCUGACCAGGGCCCCAAGCGGCCGCCCUCCUGGCCUGGGAGGUGAUGUCCGGGGCGGCUCUGAGCAGAGGCGGUGAGGGAGGGAGGGCAGGUGCAGACAGAGGUCCGCCCGUCGGAAACAGGAGAGAACCCGCUGGGGCAGCCGCCCAGGAAAGGAGGCAGCGACGACGGGCCACAGCUCUCUGGUGACACCUAGCUCUGCCCAGGUGCCCCCCAGACACCCCACGCCCACCACAGCUCCUGCACACGGCCCGCAGCACCCGUGUCUUCUGGGUCCUUCCUCCAGGGCCUACGGUGAUCACCAGCCACGUGGCUCCGCCCUGGAGCCAGCACCAUCAGUGGGGACACACGUGAGCCCUAUGCGUGAUUUUAAACUUCCUGGCAGUCCUGUUAAGGACGCAGAAAGAAAACAGGUGGAAUCGAUGCUAAUGAUUUAUUUCAUUUAGCUCAGUAUGUCCCGAAUGUUAUCAUUUCGACACGGAAGCAACAGGAACUCUACUGAUGGGAAGGUUUACAUUCUUUCCUUCAUGAUGAGUCUUUAAAAUGCAGGUGCAGCCUGCACUAACAGUACCCCUCGGCCCCCCAGCCGCAGUCGGAUGCCCGGGGGCCCAGCGGCGUGGCUGCCCGGCUGGACCGGGAGCUCCUGCGGGGCCGGGCGGCUCUCGGGGUUCAGUGCUCUCACCAGUGGGCGCAGGCCUGGCACCCAGCAGUGCAUGCUGCAGGCGCACUGCACAAGCCAAUGAACCCUCCUACGUAGCACCGGCUCAUUCUGGAAGUAGGUGGGGUGGGGGCAGGACUCUCCUUCUCAGGGACCUGUUCCCCUCCUUGCCCACUUACCAAACUCUGGGGGCCCCUCUGCCACCCGAAGUCCCCAUCGCAGGGCUCACUGCCUUCCUCUCCCGCCUCCAAACCUGCUUCUCCCUCCCUGGACUCUAAGCGCUAACUGGACCUUAUUUGGACACGUAAACGGGAAAGAACUAGGACCCAGAAGAUCACCAUGCACACACAGGGACCCGACAAAACACAAGGGCUUGCUGGGGUUGGUCUAGACACACUUUGCCGCCAGAUUUGGUUUCCUUGAGGCUCCUGGGCUGCCGGUGAUGGGCAUGGCCGGUUGGUCACAUCCAUGGAACCCAACUUUGUGCGACGAGCAUUCGGACAUCUGCUGCUGACAACACCCUCUUCCCUCUGGCCUUUCCGUACACCCUGGAGACAGGGGCCUUUGGGCCACGCGGGGCCAGCGGCUCAGACUUUCCGUGUCUCCCCAGGCAACUUAUAGAACUGCCAAAUCUUAAUGCCAUUGUGGCUCCUAAGUGGCCAGUUUAUCUUAACGAUUUUUGCUUUAACUGUUGGGACCAUGUUUUGGGGCUGUGUGGGCACUUUUGAUCUCUCCGUCCGUCUCUGUCUCUCUGACACAUGCACACGCACAUACACACGCGCAGGCCCCUAGUGUGCACUAUCAAUGCAGCGGUCUUCACCAGAGCUGGGCUCCUGGAUCUGAUGACAACGCUCCGUCCUGAGACCAGAACGUAGAACAGGAUGGGACACGGCUGAGCGCUCGGAGCAGGGACAGUACAGAGUCACAGAGCCUCCCGGG